UUAAGAUUUGGUGAAGAUUGUAUCUGUAUUGAUGGCACUCAUGGAAUGAACGGAUAUGGUUUUGAAUUACAUACUAUCCUCGUCAUUGAUGACUUGCGAGAAGGGUACCCAUGUGCUUUUUUAAUUUCGAAUCGCAGUGAUUCAGAGGUUAUGCAAGUAUUUUUUUCAUGUGUGGAAGAGAGGAUUUUUAAAAAACUGAAAAGAAAAAACAUUCAUGUCCAAUAUGGCAGAAAGCUAUUAUAAUGCUUGAGUAUGAGUAAUGCUGCCAGCUCAAUAUAGAUUAUAUUGCACAUGGCAUGUUGACAGGGCCUGGAGGAAGAACAUAGAAAAAGUAAAUGGCAAAGAGAAAAAAGUUCAAGUUUAUCAAAUGCUACGGGUAUUGCUACAAGAACGGGAUGUCAAUGCAUUUACUAAAUUAGUAAAUGAAUUUCUGACAUAUUGCAAAAAGGAUCUAGAUAUUUUAGAAUUUGCAAAAUAUUUUGAGUUACAUUAUCUCCUAAAAGUGGAACAGUGGGCAUAUUGUUACAGAAUUAAUUCAGGACUUAACACAAAUAUGCAUAUUGAGCGGAUGCACCGUACAAUACAACACAUUUAUUUAAAUGGAAAAUUUGUUAAAAGAUUAGAUAAAGCAAUAGGAGCUGUCAUGAAAUUUGUAAGAGACAAAAUUUUUGAGCGUUUAAUUAUCAUUCACAAAGGUAAAGUCUCUACAAAAUUAAAUAAUCUGAGAAACAGA